rnacentral:rRNA from 1 species
AACGAACGCUGGCGGCAGGCCUAACACAUGCAAGUCGAGCGAACCCUUCGGGGUUAGCGGCGGACGGGUUAGUAACGCGCGGGAAUAUACCCUUUGGUACGGAAUAGCCUCGGGAAACUGAGAGUAAUACCGUAUGUGCCCUUCGGGGAAAGAUUUAUCGCCAAAGGAUUAGCCCGCGUUGGAUUAGAUAGUUGGUGGGGUAAUGGCCUACCAAGUCUACGAUCCAUAGCUGGUUUGAGAGGAUGAUCAGCAACACUGGGACUGAGACACGGCCCAGACUCCUACGGGAGGCAGCAGUGGGGAAUCUUAGACAAUGGGCGCAAGCCUGAUCUAGCCAUGCCGCGUGGACGAUGAAGGCCUUAGGGUUGUAAAGUCCUUUCAGAUGGGAAGAUAAUGACGGUACCAUCAGAAGAAGCCCCGGCUAACUCCGUGCCAGCAGCCGCGGU